AGAGUUUGAUCAUGGCUCAGGGUGAAUGCUGGCGGCGUGGAUAAGUCAUGCAAGUCAAGGGGGCCCGAAAGGGCAACCGGCAGACGAGGUAGUAACACGUAGGUACGUCCCCCGAAGUCGGGCAUAGCCAACCGAAAGGUUGGGUAAUUCCCGAUAGUCCCGCAAGAAAGGUUUUUCGCUUCGGGAGCGGCCUGCGUAGUAUCAGCUAGUUGGUAGGGUAACGGCCUACCAAGGCUACGACGCUUAGGGGAGCUGAGAGGCUGACCCCCACCGAUGGAACUGCGACACGGUCCAUACUCCUACGGGAGGCUGCAGACGAGAAUAUUCCGCAAUGGACGAAAGUCUGACGGAGCGACGCCGCGUGAUGGAUGAAGUGCCUUGGUACGUAAACAUCUUUUAUCGGGGACGAAGUUUAUUGACGGUACCCGAUGAAUAAGGAGCUCCUAACUCUGUGCCAGCAGGAGCGGUAAUACAGAGGCUCCAAGCAUUACCCGGAAUCACUGGGCGUAAAGGGUGUCUAGGCGGCCAUAUUAGUCUUGCGUUAAAUCUGUGGGCUCAACCUGCAGUCUGCGUGAGAAACGGUAUGGCUCGAGGGCGCGAGAGGUGCAUGGAACUCAUGGUGGAGGGGUGAAAUCCGUUGAUAUCAUGGGGAACACCAAAGGCGAAGNNCAAUGCACUGGUACGUUCCUGACGCUCAAACACGAAAGCCAGGGUAGCGAACGGGAUUAGAUACCCCAGUAGUCC
rnacentral:rRNA from 1 species